GCCGUGGCACACACCUGUAGUCCCAGCUACUCAGGAGGCUGAGCAGGAGUACAGGAUUGCUUGAGUACAGGAGCUUUGGGCUGAAGUGCGCUAUGUCUAUAGGGUGUCCAUACUAAGUUCAGUAUCAAUAUGGUGAGUUCCUGGGAACGGGAAACCACCAGGUUGCCUAAGGAGGGGUGAACCGGACCAGGUCGGAAAUGGAGCAUGUCAAGAAUCACAUGGAAGACUAAAUAAGCCUUUAAUAGCUUCCUGGAGAGGUGGACAGAGGAGUUUAAUCAUUUAGAGCCCCAGAGGGAAUUAAGAGUAAGAUAGUUCUGUC
ensembl:misc_RNA Metazoa_SRP Metazoan signal recognition particle RNA